GACGAACGCUGGCGGCGUGCUUAACACAUGCAAGUCGAACGGAAAGACCCUGCUUUUGUGGGGUGCUCGAGUGGCGAACGGGUGAGUAACACGUGAGUAACCUGCCCUUGACUUUGGGAUAACUUCAGGAAACUGGGGCUAAUACCGGAUAGGAGCUCCUGCUGCAUGGUGGGGGUUGGAAAGUUUCGGCGGUUGGGGAUGGACUCGCGGCUUAUCAGCUUGUUGGUGGGGUAGUGGCUUACCAAGGCUUUGACGGGUAGCCGGCCUGAGAGGGUGACCGGCCACAUUGGGACUGAGAUACGGCCCAGACUCCUACGGGAGGCAGCAGUGGGGAAUAUUGCACAGUGGGCGGAAGCCUGAUGCAGCAACGCCGCGUGCGGGAUGACGGCCUUCGGGUUGUAAACCGCUUUCGCCUGUGACGAAGCGUGAGUGACGGUAAUGGGUAAAGAAGCACCGGCUAACUACGU
rnacentral:rRNA from 1 species